AUUGAACGCUGGCGGCAGGCCUAACACAUGCAAGUCGAGCGAGCGGAGGACGGGUGAGUAAUGUCUGGGAAACUGCCUGAUGGAGGGGGAUAACUACUGGAAACGGUAGCUAAUACCGCAUACCAUCAGAUGUGCCCCGAUGGGAUUAGCUCGUAGUUGGGGUAAUGGCUCACCUAGGCGACGAUCCCUCGCUGGUCUGAGAGGAUGACCAUCCACACAUGAAAUGAGAAACGGUCCAGACUCCUACGGGAGGCAGCAGUGGGGAAUAUUGCACAAUGGGCGUAAGCCUGAUGCAGCCAUGCCGCUUGUGAGAAGAAGUCCUUCGGGUUGUAAAGAACUUUCAGCGGGGAGGCGUUACCCGCAGAAGAAGCACCGGCUAACUCCGUGCCAGCAGCCGCGGUAAUUC
rnacentral:rRNA from 1 species